UCAUCCGUAAGGUAACGGUUUAAAAUUCAAACAACUCAAGCUUUUUCAGUUUUUUAGUAUGUGCUUUCAGGCAUAGUGCUGAGUUUCAUAUCCAAGAAGUGUUUGAAAGUGUAGUUUUUUUUGGUAUUUUCUAUUCAGCAGAGAUGUUUAAACAAUUAUUUUACUUCCAAAUAAUUUUAUUUUGAUGCAAUAUAUGUCUCUGAAUUUAUUUUUCAUGUUUGUUCCGGUAUCUCUACUAAAAAUUACUGUCUGGACACCUCCGUUCAUAUCAUGUCUGCUUUGUGAAACAGAUGGUUAAAUUAGAAUUUCAUAUAAAACUUUCUGUAUGGAGUACUAAGUAGUUUAUUCAAUUGAGCCUCAAUGUGAAUAUAAAAGUUGUGAUCAUGAUAUUAUGAGUGUUUUUCAAUUGUUGUUUCGUCUCUAAGUUGCAGUACACGAAACUGUAUAUAUUCACUGAAGCUUAAAAUUUUCUUUUCAUAGAUUAGAUGAAUGUGGCAGCAGAGUUGGUGCUAAUCCCUAGAGCUUGAAUAUGUUUUUGAAAGAGGUAUCGCUGGUGGAGGAGCUGGAGAAGGCGCAGGGGCUCCGCGAGGCAGCUGACGGAUCGGGUCCUGGAUGAGCGUGAGGAGGCACUGCAAUGGGAAGUGAGGGAGUUGGAGCUCAGGGACGACAAGCAGAGGAGGCUGGUGGCAGAGCUCAUGCAUCUCAUUGGAUGCCCUAGUCUUGACCAUGUUUCGUCUGAGGAGACGAUUCUUUUCAGUCUAGGGUCGCUUCAUGCUUUUGCUUGCUGGUCACCUGGUUUGUCUGAUUGCAGUACAUGAAAACAACCAUUAAUUGGCGAAGCAGCGAGGUGAAGUUGCGCGCUGACCAACAUGUUAACCUCUUCGUGCCAGGGGGACCUAUCUACUGUGAUAUUAAGGAAGUCAACAGUGAGCAAGUUCCCCAAAAAAAUACAUUGUCGUUGAGGUGUGUUUAUGUAAUAUUAUACCUGAGACCUGAUUAGGUUAUAAGAACCAUGUCCACAAUUAGUCAAUAAGCCGCGCCUCAAUAGGUAUUAAUUUCCCAGAAAAUCUGCCUUACCGAUUUUGCCUGCCAAUGAUAUGUGUUCAGUUGUAAAAAUAACACCUGCCAAUUUCUCAGAGGACCACAACAAGGUGUAAGAACAGCUGCUCGCCAUCCACCCCAUGGCAGCACAAAAUCUCAUGUAUACUCAUCACAAGAUGUUCUUAACUUCACUUGCAUAGAGAUGUGAAUUGGCAUGUACUUAUUUAACCUAGAAACAUGCAGAUACUUAUAGCUAAUGAAUCAAGGGCAGUUAGUUUAUUACUUUAUUCAGCGGAUAGUACAGUUAAUUAUCUUGGUAAUAUGCUUCGGUCCCUAAGUCCUAACUAUUCCUUCUCUGGAAAUAUUAGAAGGUCGAUGCAGAUCGGUAAUGAGAUCCAGGCUGCUCGAUUUCCUUCACGGACAUGGACGAGCUCCCCCUGGUAAUAUCAGUUGGAGAAGAAGAGAUAGGAGGCAUGUCUAUGGGUGAAUUCAGAAGUACAUGUAUCUGGUGAGCCUGAUGGUAUGGAUGUAUAAGGGCUUUUUUCGUACGGGUCAUUGUUGUUAUGCUUUGCUAUUCUCAUGGACUAUGGUCUCUUAUCACACAUUGAUUCCAGAGAACUUUCUUUAGUUCAUCAUGUGUUUCGAGCUAAAGUUGCGACUUUAUUUAUCGGUUUAAAUGCCUUGGUAACCCGUCCAUAUAUUUUUUAUUAAAAUUUUAUACAAAUGAGCAUCUAUUUUCUAAUUUUAAAAUCCAUGCUCAAUGCACGCAACAUCAGUUGACAUGAUGAACGUGUGUAGUUCAACAUUAGUACUGAAAUAAAUGAAAGGCUACUUCAUUUGUUAAUCUUUUACGGCAAUUGCUUAGGCUCUUAUCCCAAUGAAUUUGAAUCAUUAUUUAUUAUCGUGCAGAUAUGGUGUUGCCUGAUAUAUAUAAUCCUUUGUUCUUUUGUAUUUAUUCAGAAAAUCUGUAUUUAUAUUUGAAUUUUUGCAAUGUCCCUAAUCUGUUGAAGGUGUUAUAGUGGGCAUUCGGGUGAGCAUUGUGCAACUUAUCUGAAAGUUAAGAUUGCUUCUGCAGUUAAGAGUUGCAAGACUAUGGCCUGGGGUGUAGUUUCAUUUUCAUGUGAACAAUCUUCUCUAUCCCAUCGCCAUCUCCAGUAGGAGUGCCAGACAGGUUGUCCUCCUGUUCACAAGGCUGUGUGUGCGCUUGAUCCGAGAAACAAUUGGUAUAGCAUCAGAAUUAUGUGCUUACUAGUUCGCUGUCAUGAUUCAUCAUGUACACCUGUACUAAAAAGGCCUGUACUCAAAGCCUUGUGAAAAACAGUCAACAGAAGGUAUGCACUCUGCUCAAUCUUUCAUGUCGGAUCCUAUUUUACAUCCUACAAUUUUUAUUUUUUUCUUCCUAUCUAUAGAUGUUUGCUAUUGUGUUCUUUAAAUAUGCAAGAUUAACAUUCGUUUUCAUCAUCGACCGGAGGAAAAGAGCAGCUUAACGAUCGAGUACCUAGAAACAACAUCAGUGAAGCAACCCAUUUUAGGCGAUGACAUCUAACCCUUUAUGUAAUUAUGUUAGAUAAUUCCUCAAUUUACCUGACCAUGUAUAAAACCUUUGUUCUGAGCAAUGUUGGUUAAUUCUUGCA